CUGGGUGCCGUAUGGACCCAGUGGGAUCAGAGGGCAUCGGCUCCCUCCGGUGCCUCUCAUGUCCGAAUUGCUCACAGGAGGAUUUGGUUAUGAGAC
rnacentral:sRNA from 1 species